GACGAACGCUGGCGGCGUGCUUAACGCAUGCAAGUCGAACGGAAAGGCCCUGCUUUUGUGGGGUGCUCGAGUGGCGAACGGGUGAGUAACACGUGAGUAACCUGCCCUUGACUUUGGGAUAACUUCAGGAAACUGGGGCUAAUACCGGAUAGGAGCUCCUGCUGCAUGGUGGGGGUUGGAAAGUUUCGGCGGUUGGGGAUGGACUCGCGGCUUAUCAGCUUGUUGGUGGGGUAGUGGCUUACCAAGGCUUUGACGGGUAGCCGGCCUGAGAGGGUGACCGGCCACAUUGGGACUGAGAUACGGCCCAGACUCCUACGUGAGGCAGCAGUGGGGAAUAUUGCACAAUGGGCGGAAGCCUGUUGCAGCAACGCCGCGUGCGGGAUGACGGCCUUCGGGUUGUAAACCGCUUUCGCCUGUGACGAAGCGUGAGUGACGGUAAUGGGUAAAGAAGCACCGGCUAACUACGUG
rnacentral:rRNA from 1 species